rnacentral:rRNA from 1 species
AUGAACGCUAGCGGCAGGCCUAACACAUGCAAGUCGAGGGGCAUCACGAGGUAGCAAUACUUUGGUGGCGACCGGCGCACGGGUGCGUAACGCGUAUGUAACCUACCUAUAACAGGGGCAUAACACUGAGAAAUUGGUACUAAUUCCCCAUAAUAUUCGGAGAGGCAUCUCUCCGGGUUGAAAACUCCGGUGGUUAUAGAUGGACAUGCGUUGUAUUAGCUAGUUGGUGAGGUAACGGCUCACCAAGGCAACGAUACAUAGGGGGACUGAGAGGUUAACCCCCCACACUGGUACUGAGACACGGACCAGACUCCUACGGGAGGCAGCAGUGAGGAAUAUUGGUCAAUGGACGCAAGUCUGAACCAGCCAUGCCGCGUGCAGGAAGACGGCUCUAUGAGUUGUAAACUGCUUUUGUACGAGGGUAAACUCACCUACGUGUAGGUGACUGAAAGUAUCGUACGAAUAAGGAUCGGCUAACUCCGUGCCAGCAGCCGCGGUAAUACGGAGGAUUCAAGCGUUAUCCGGAUUUAUUGGGUUUAAAGGGUGCGUAGGCGGUUUGAUAAGUUAGAGGUGAAAUCCCGGGGCUUAACUCCGGAACUGCCUCUAAUACUGUUAGACUAGAGAGUAGUUGCGGUAGGCGGAAUGUAUGGUGUAGCGGUGAAAUGCUUAGAGAUCAUACAGAACACCGAUUGCGAAGGCAGCUUACCAAACUAUAUCUGACGUUGAGGCACGAAAGCGUGGGGAGCAAACAGGAUUAGAUACCCUGGUAGUCCACGCAGUAAACGAUGAUAACUCGUUGUCGGCGAUACACAGUCGGUGACUAAGCGAAAGCGAUAAGUUAUCCACCUGGGGAGUACGUUCGCAAGAAUGAAACUCAAAGGAAUUGACGGGGGCCCGCACAAGCGGAGGAACAUGUGGUUUAAUUCGAUGAUACGCGAGGAACCUUACCCGGGCUUAAAUUGCAGUGGAAUGAUGUGGAAACAUGUCAGUGAGCAAUCACCGCUGUGAAGGUGCUGCAUGGUUGUCGUCAGCUCGUGCCGUGAGGUGUCGGGUUAAGACCCAUAACGAGCGCAACCCCUACCGUUAGUUGCCAUCAGGUCAAGCUGGGCACUCUGGCGGGACUGCCGGUGUAAGCCGAGAGGAAGGUGGGGAUGACGUCAAAUCAGCACGGCCCUUACGUCCGGGGCUACACACGUGUUACAAUGGUAGGUACAGAGGGUCGCUACUCCGUGAGGAGAUGCCAAUCUCGAAAGCCUAUCUCAGUUCGGAUUGGAGGCUGAAACCCGCCUCCAUGAAGUUGGAUUCGCUAGUAAUCGCGCAUCAGCCAUGGCGCGGUGAAUACGUUCCCGGGCCUUGUACACACCGCCCGUCAAGCCAUGGAAGCUGGGGGUGCCUGAAGUUCGUGACCGCAAGGAGCGACCUAGGGCAAAACCGGUAACUGGGGCU